GAUGAACGCUGGCGGCGUGCCUAAUACAUGCAAGUCGAGCGAACAGACGAGGAGCUUGCUCCUCUGACGUUAGCGGCGGACGGGUGAGUAACACGUGGAUAACCUACCUAUAAGACUGGGAUAACUUCGGGAAACCGGAGCUAAUACCGGAUAAUAUAUUGAACCGCAUGGUUCAAUAGUGAAAGACGGUUUUGCUGUCACUUAUAGAUGGAUCCGCGCCGCAUUAGCUAGUUGGUAAGGUAACGGCUUACCAAGGCAACGAUGCGUAGCCGACCUGAGAGGGUGAUCGGCCACACUGGAACUGAGACACGGUCCAGACUCCUACGGGAGGCAGCAGUAGGGAAUCUUCCGCAAUGGGCGAAAGCUUGACGGAGCAACGCCGCGUGAGUGAUGAAGGUCUUCGGAUCGUAAAACUCUGUUAUUAGGGAAGAACAAAUGUGUAAGUAACUAUGCACGUCUUGACGGUACCUAAUCAGAAAGCCACGGGUAACUACGUG
rnacentral:rRNA from 1 species